CAGUAGCCACGGUAAUACGAAGGGGGCUAGCGUUGUUCGGAAUGACUGGGCGUAAAGGGCGCGUAGGUGGUUAUGUAAGUGAGAUGUGAAAUCCCCGGGCUCAACCUGGGAACUGCAUCUUAUACUGCGUAGCUGGAGUGCAGAAGAGGAGAGUGGAAUUCCACGUGUAGCGGUGAAAUGCGUAGAGAUGUGGAGGAGCACCAGUGGCGAAGGCGACUCUCUGGUCUGUAACUGACGCUGAGGAGCGAAAGCGUGGGGAGCGAACAGGAUUAGAUACCCCCGUAGUCCCUGUCUCUUAUCA
rnacentral:rRNA from 1 species